CAAAACCCAAUCAAAAUUCCGCUUGUACAAAACCCCAUCUCUGUUUAGAUAGAACACCAUGGCCAACCUCCUCAGAGUCUUUCGGUCUUUCUUUGAUGCUCCCUCCGGAUACUCUUGGGUUUCCAUACAGCGCUUUAUGUCGUAAUACCACAGCUUUUCAUCAUCAGGCGCUGCUUCAACAACAAACACAUAAGCCGGUCUAUC
rnacentral:lncRNA from 1 species